CACACACGGACUUUGGUGUCUGCCCGGGAGAAAUCCGGCUGAAACCUCCGGUGGCAUUCGAGGACAUCCGUCCGGAAAUGCCUGUGUCCGUGGAGGCUAACCGGAAAGGAACUUGAGAAUG
rfam:Mesorhizobium metallidurans STM 2683, WGS project CATM01000000 data, contig: ANX_1634_Contig_45